rnacentral:misc_RNA from 1 species
GAAAUGCGAUAAGUAAUGUGAAUUGCAGAAUUCAGUGAAUCAUCGAAUCUUUGAACGCACAUUGCGCCCGCCAGUAUUCUGGCGGGCAUGGCUGUUCGAGCGUCAUUACAACCCUCAGGCCCCCGGGCCUGGCGUUGGGGAUCGGCGGAAGCCCCCUGCGGGCACAACGCCGUCCCCCAAAUACAGUGGCGGUCCCGCCGCAGCUUCCAUUGCGUAGUAGCUAACACCUCGCAACUGGAGAGCGGCGCGGCCACGCCGUAAAACACCCAACUUCUGAAUGUUGACCUCGAAUCAGGUAGGAAUACCCGCUGAACUUAAGC